rnacentral:rRNA from 1 species
ACCGGUCCUUCGGGACCGGGGAAAGCGGCGAACGGGUGAGUAACACGUGGGUAAUCAACCCUUGGUACCGGGAUAGCCCGAGGAAACUCGGAUUAAUACCGGAUGGCCCAACAGCUCUUCGGGGCGGUUGGAAAAGGUAGCUUCGGCCUCCGACCAAGGACGAGCCCGCGGCGGAUUAGCUUGUUGGUGAGGUAACGGCUCACCAAGGCGACGAUCCGUAGCUGGUCUGAGAGGACGAUCAGCCACACUGGGACUGAGACACGGCCCAGACUCCUACGGGAGGCAGCAGUGGGGAAUCUUGGACAAUGGGCGAAAGCCUGAUGCAGCGACGCCGCGUGAGGGAAGAAGGCUUUCGGG